rnacentral:rRNA from 1 species
AACGAACGCUGGCGGCAGGCUUAACACAUGCAAGUCGAACGAACGUAGCAAUACGUUAGUGGCGCACGGGUGAGUAACACGUGGAUAUCUGCCUUUUGGUUCGGGAUAACCCUGGGAAACUAGGGCUAAUACCGAAUGGUUCCUACGGGAUAAAGAUUUAUCGCCAAAAGAUGAGUCCGCGUCCGAUUAGCUAGUUGGUGGGGUAAUGGCUCACCAAGGCGACGAUCGGUAGCUGGUCUGAGAGGACGAUCAGCCACACUGGGACUGAGACACGGCCCAGACUCCUACGGGAGGCAGCAGUGGGGAAUAUUGGACAAUGGGGGCAACCCUGAUCCAGCCAUGCCGCGUGAGUGAUGAAGG